rnacentral:rRNA from 1 species
UACGGGGGGAGCAAGCGUUGUUCGGAUUUAUUGGGCGUAAAGGGCGCGUAGGCGGCGUGAUAAGUCACUUGUGAAAUCUCCGGGCUUAACUCGGAACGGUCAAGUGAUACUGUCGUGCUAGAGUACAGAAGGGGCAACUGGAAUUCUCGGUGUAGCGGUGAAAUGCGUAGAUAUCGAGAGGAACACCUGCGGCGAAGGCGGGUCUCUGGGCCGAUACUGACGCUGAGGAGCGAAAGCGUGGGGAGCGAACAGG